UUAUCAUAUUAAUCUUCCCUGUUUUUUUGUAUAUAUAGACAUGUUUGGGGUUGAUCAAAAUAACUGAGGAUUCGUUAGAUUUCAUGUUGAGCAUGUAUUAGCUGAAACAAAGGCUUCAAUAUGCUAAAAGAUAGGAUUCAUUCCUUAGACCGGAACAGAAGAAGCUAGAGCCACUACCAACAACCAAGUAAAAGAAAGGAGUUGAACAGUUGGCAUUCAAAGUGAUUUGAGGCUGUACCAAGGUCUGUUUUGCAUAAUGGAGGCUGUGGAUUGGGAAAAUUCUUCGGGAGGAUCAAUAAAUACUGAGGCCUAUUUGCAAGAUACAAAAUAUGAGGAUGAUGAGGAACUCCAUUUUACAUCUGGGUUUAUAUCCAAGUUGCAG